UUUUAUUAAAAAAAAUCUCACAAACUGACAAGCACAGCAUGAAUCAAAAUCAACCUUCACAAUGGAAACAAGAUUCUCACAGCAUUUAGGUAGAACAGCUCAUUGUGCAUAACGAAAUUAUAGCUAAACAGAACCAAAUACUAGAUAUAUAACUGGUUCAAAACAAGGGAGACAGCUAGAUGGACAUGCCACCAGAUGGCCCGUACUGAAUUCUUUCAAAGUAGAAAGCGGCAUAACUCAUUUAAGAGGAAUGAACCGGGAGGAGUGUGUGGCACCGAUACCGGGCCUACCGUGCUUCACUGGCUUGUAGGAGAUAGAGAACUCUGCAAGGUAAUGGCCAAUCAUCUCAGGCUUAAUCUCAACCUGGUUGAAGGUCUUGCCAUUGUAGACACCGAUAAGGCUGCCAAUCAUCUCAGGGACAAUGAUCAUGUUACGGAGAUGUGUCCUCACUGGCUCAGGCUUCUCACCAGCAGGAGCG
rnacentral:lncRNA from 1 species